CUAAUAGUUACAGGUCAGGCUCUGUGUAGUGGGCACAGACAUCACUCAGGGCGAAGGCUCUGGGGCAGUCGAGGCAGAGGCGCAGGAGCCCGGGUGUGGAGACACAAGGUGGCCGGCUGGGGGAAUGGUCCCCGACACCCAGUGCCAGAAGAGGGCAGACCUGGAGGAGCCCGCGGCCGGUGACGGGCCAGGGGUGUCUCUGUCACCUCAGUGACACCUGUCCUGCAUGAGGCGCAGGAUCUAAGACCUGAGCAAGCCUCUUCCCUUCUGUGAACCUCAGUUUCCCCACCAGUAAAGCAGGGUCACCCCCUCCUCAGCUCGGGACAACCUGGGCUGUGGAGUCAAUGGAGUGAGCUCCUCAAUCUCUCUUGGGUUUUGUUUUUCAUCAUCUGUUAACAGUUCCGAGCUGGAGUCCCUGCAUCAAGCCGUUCCUGAAGCCAGCGUCCUUGAAUAUGUUUCCUUCAGCUAUGAGAGCCAGCUCCCCUGCUUUUCACUAAGGUCAGUUUGAUUUGGGUUUCUCCACCUUUCGAGCUGAGGACCUACAGCGCUUCCUUAGUAGCUGGGAUGAGGAGCCGAGGGGCUUCAGAAAAGACCAAACCUCUGGGUCUCGGGCCUUUUUCAGUGCCAUUAGCAGAAAGCAACACGCACGCGCCAUCUCUCCCACCUGGGCCCGGGAGCGGUGCCCACCUACUGCGAGAUUCCCCCCCCCCGGCCACUGGCUCAAGACCGAUCGGCACGGUCCAUCUGAGCAGCACCCACCGUGCGCUGGCCCAGCGCUGGACAAAGGAGGCAUCGAUGUCACCCGGGGCUCACGGAGACCCAGCAGAAAGCCCUGGCCACGCCCGGAACACCCGGCCCUGCUCUCCACCCAGGCAACUCCUGUUGGCCAGCACUCCCCAGACCAGCGCCACCUCCUCUAAGACGCCUCCUCUGCCUCCCCUCCCCCAGGCGGUUCUGGGGGCUUCUGUCUUUCCUUGCGUUCAAGACGCACCAGGAUCCGAAGCAUCAACCACAAGGAACGAACAACACCCCGAUUACACCACCGUAACACGAGACUUUGUUCAGGUGGGGAAACUGAGGCCCAGAGAGGCAAAGCACAGAAACAGGGACAGCACCAGCACCAGCACCAGGGUUCAGGCUCUGGACAUGUGGGACAAGAAUUCACCUUCCAGGGCUUCCCAGGGUGAUGGCCCGGACUCCUCAGCCAGAGCCCUGGUGGCCACGGGGAUAAGCAGCUGCCCCGCGGGGCUGAAACGUAGCCAGCGAUGCUCCUGCGAGGGGAGGCCCCGCGUCACGCGUGGGCGGCAGAGCCGGAACUCGGGGCACAGCUAUUUCUGGAGGCCGAGGCGAGAAAGUGGGGGCGGCGGAAGAGCCUCACAGGAACGGGGAGGCUGGGGGCCCCGGCGGGGGGCUCAGGGCCUGGUGUCCUCUGUGGGAAUGGAGAGCCGGGUGCAGAACCCCGAGCCCCUGUGGGCGCCAGAGGAGGAGCCAGGCAGGGAUGCUGUCCCCAACAGGCGACAAGACGCCCGGACAGACUGGCCGGGCCCUGGGGCAAAGCCAAGCUAGGACCUGGAAAUGUGGAGCCGGGUGGACGGCUGGGCUGCAGAUUUAAAUACGCACUCGGAAGCAGGAAGAUCAGCACGAGGCCAAGGCCAACCUGAGUUACACAGUGAGACCCUGCCUGUCUCAAAAAAAAGAAAAGAAAAAGACCUGGAGAAGGGCAAGGAGGGAGUUGUGUCCACAUCGGCAUUGCAGAUCAAUCAAACAACCUGUGCAAAGGCCCUGGGGCGGCAUAGAGCCUGGCAUGGUGCAUGGGCAAUAAGGAUCCCAUGUGGCUGGAGCAGAGAGCACAAGAGGGAGGGAGGGAAGAGAGGUGGGGAGGGGAUGGGUGGGCUGUGCAGGCCCCCAUGGGCUGCCGGGAGGACUUGGGCUUUGGCCCCAGGGAGGUGGGAGCCCUAGAAGGCUCUGUGUGGCAGGGACGCACUGCUUGCUCUCGAGUCCCUGCUGCAGGAGGUGGAUGGUCCAGGAGCCAGACCUGAUGGUGAGGCAGAGCCAAAGGCAGUGACCAGCAGGGAGAGGGAGGAGGCUCCUGAGAGCAAACAGCCACAUCUCCGAGAGCACUGUGUCCUGGGGUUCAUGUGUGACCACCCUGAAGACCAAGUUGGCCUGCAAGUGCCAGAAAAGGCACAGAAGAGGAGCCCCCAGGUAACCCCGCAGGGCUAUUUUGCCCCUAUCAGCAGGGCCCAGGCUCUUUAUAUCUCCUUCAUUCUCCAGUGUUAGCCAUAACGCCUGCCUCAGGGUCCAAUACAGCUGCCUGAGCAACUGCCAUCACCUCCACAUUCCCGGUGGGAGGUGAAAGAACCAUGCACCACCUCUCUUUAAAGACAUUUCCAGGAAAUCCUGUUCAUUUAUUCCAGAAUGAUUCAGAUGGUGCCGACAGCUGCAAAGGAUACCAGGAAAUGUCUUCCUUCCUCUCCCUGGUGACCAUGUGUCCAGAUAAAAAUUGUAGAGUCCAAUUGUUAUAGAGCAUGGGACAUGAAGGGCUGUUGGGAGACCCCACCAGAAACGGGUGACCUCGGGGCCACAUCUUAGAUUUCAAGCCAGCACAUCUGAGAAACUCUGCCCCAACUGUGACGGCUUUCACGGAUCCCCAGGGUGCAGGCCUGGCUCAGCUAAGCCCAAGGUUCAGGUCAGUGCCCACAGGCUGGGCCCCCUGCAGCCCCCUAUCCUGCCUCACCCCUGCCUGUCGAGGACCCAGGGCAAUUCAUCUCCUUCUCCUCCAUAAACAACUGUCAGGGAAAAUAAAUAGUUUUUAAUAGGCUCAUUAAUUGAAUUCAGGAAGAAAUCUCCUCUCCCCAGCUGAGCGGGAGGAACUGGGCAGAGAUGGAGAAUCUUAAUGGCCAGAGGCAGCGGGCACCCCAGGCCCCUCUGCCCACCGUGCUGUGCCCCAGCCCCGCCAGUUCUGUCCCGGCUGCGAAGGGCCACAGCCUUACACUGGGCAGCAGGGAUGGAAAAGGAUUUAAUAUCAUUCUUUUUUCUUGCAAUACUGGGGGUGGAACUGAGGGCCUCUGCAUUGAGCUCCAUCUUGACCCUUCUUAUUUUUUAUUUUAGACAAGUAUCCUUAAAUUGUCCAGCCUGGACUAGAACUUGAGAUCCUCCCGUCUCAGCCUCCCAAGUGCUCAGAUGACAGGCCUGCACCACUGCACCCAGCUGAAAUCUGUGUUCUUUUUCUUUUUUUUUUUGGUACUGGGGAUCAAACUCAGGAUCUUGCACUUAUCUGUGUUGAGGGUCAAAUUCAACCUUGAGAAAGACCAGCUGGUUCUGGCUGAGUCUUCCACUUGUCUCACUCUGCACUGAGCUCUUUCUGGGGUCCCAGCCCCUCUGGGCUCCCCCAGAGGCCAGAAAUGGCACGGGCCGACUCUGGGCCCCUCACCUCCAGCACCUGUCCACAGGCCCGCCCCCCCCGGCUUGUGUGCUCCCCAUUCCGUCCAUCGUGGCUCUGCACACAG
rnacentral:lncRNA from 1 species